CCAGGAGUUAUCAGGAAACAACAGUUUUAAUAUCUGACCUUAACUCUCCUGUCUCUAAACAGGACUCCAUGACAUGCUGUUUGGAAUGCAGCACAGCUGGUCCAGGGAGAACAUCAACCUCCCUGAUGAUGAGGUGAUGGGAGGAGUUGACGGAGAAGGAGGAGCUACAGAACAUUGCCCCUCCCCUAUCCCAGGUCCAUCCAUGUCCUCUCCUAGGGCAGCCUCCCCCGUCUCACCUCCUCUACCCGCUGAGGACAACGAACCUGUCAACGUCACCAUCACAGUCAUGGCAACGGGCUGAAGAUCACACACAUCCAUACAUUCUGGAUAAAGCUGCGUUCAUAACAAGUGGGAAACUCGGCAAAUACAAUUUGUAUUAAUAGUACAGCUUUCAUGCUCAAAAACAUUAUAUAGUGUUCAAAUACCAGACUAAUAGAUCGUUUUUCAUAAAUAAUGUUUUGCUAUUGCAUUUAACUUCCAAAAAUGCUGUUAUCAAGGUAAUUUCCUUAGUAUGUGACGUCAGAGUUCAGCAUGUGGGAGAAGUUGAAGCUCAGAGAUGAUAGACGAGUUUCCCACUAGUAAUUACCAGUUGGAAGGGCGUGCAAGUAUAUUUUUCCAAGUCAUAUGCUGGUAUUUAGGAAUAUCGGA